rnacentral:tRNA from 1 species
UAGACUGUAGCUUAAUUUAAAGCAACCCACUUACAAUGGGAGGAUCACUGUGUAGUGCUGGCUAA